GGUUUGAUUCGCUCCAGAUUGAACGCUGGCGGGAUGCUGCCCAUGCAAGUCGAACGGCAGCACAGACUUCGGUCUGGUGGCGAGUGGCGAACGGGUGAGUAAUGUAUCGGAACAUUACUGGCUGUAGGGAUAACUGCGCGAAAGCGUAGCUAAUACCGCAUACGCCCUUCGGGGGAAAGCGGGGGACCUUCGGGGCCUCUCGCUCUGUGGAAGCGGCCGAUAUCGGAUUAGCUAGUUGGUGGGGUAACGGCUCACCAAGGCGACGAUCCGUAGCUGGUUUGAGAGGACGACGCCCAGCCACUGGGACUGGAGGACAGCCAGACUCCUACGAGGCAGCAGUGAGGGGAAUUUUGGACGUGGCUGGAAACCUGGUCAAGCCAUCCCGCGUGUGCGAUGAAGCGCUGGUUUGUAAACACUUUUGGCGGAAAAACGGCCUGGAUAUACGUACGCUGGCCAUUAUACAGAAUAAGCACCCGGCUAACUACGUGCCAGCAGCCGCGGUAAUACGUAGGUGCAAACGUUAAUCGGAAUUACUGGGCGUAAAGCGUGCGCAGGCAGUUUGGAAAGAAAGAUAGCAAAUCCGGAAGCAACCUGGAACUGUUUUAACUGCAGGCACAAAUUGGCAUCGGAAGUGGAAUUAUUCCGCGUGUAGCAGUGAAAUGUGGUGCCGGAGAACACCGAUGGCGAAGGCCUUCACUGGGAUAACACUGACGCUCAUGUUUGAAAACAUUGAAGACGAGCUUAGGAUUCAGAUACCUAUUAGUCACGCCUAAACGAUAUCAACUAGCUGUUGGGGCCUUCGGACGCCCCGAAGUAGCGCAAUAACGCGUGAAGUUGACCGCCUGGAAAAUACGGUCGCAGAAUUAAAACUCAAAGGAAUUGACGGGGACCCGCACAAGCGGUGGAUGAUAUGGAUAGUUGAUGCAACGCGCGAAAAACCUUACUACCCUUGACACGUAUGCCGAAUCCGAAGAUUUGGGUGUUCGCAGACAGACCACAGGUGCUGCAUGGCUGUCGUCAGCUCGUGUCGUGAGAUGUUGGGUUAAGUCCCCGCAACGAGCGUAACCCUUUGUCAUUAGUUGCUACGGGCGGCUCGUGAAGUUUGCGGUGACAAACCGGAGGAAGGUGGGGAUGACGUCAAGUCCUCAUGGCCCUUAUGGGUAGAAGGCUUCACACGUCAUACAAUGGUCGGGACAGAGGGUCGCCAACCCGCGAGGAGCCAAUCCCAGAAACCCGAUCGUAGUCCGGAUCGCAGUCUGCAACUCGACUGCGUGAAGUCGGAAUCGCUAGUAAUCGCGGAUCAGCAUGUCGCAGUGGGCGCCACGUUCCGGAUGGCAUACACACCGCCCGUCACACCAGCAGAGGUGGGUUUUGCACCGCACCGGAAAUGCGUUGGCCUAACCGUAAGGAGGGCGAUUACCACGGUAAGUUUAUGACUGGGGUGAAGUCGUAACAAGGUAA
rnacentral:rRNA from 1 species